rnacentral:rRNA from 1 species
CGGUACGUACUGGCAUUGUUGGUUUCUCCCUUCUGACGAACCAUGAUGUCAUUUAUUUGGUGUUGUGGGGAAUCAGGACUGUUACUUUGAAAAAAUUAGAGUGUUUAAAGCGGGCUCACGCUUGAAUACAUUAGCAUGGAAUAAUGAAAUAGGACGUUUGAUUCUAUUUUGUUGGUUUCUAGGAUCGACGUAAUGAUUAAUAGGGAUAGUUGGGGGCAUUAGUAUUCAAUUGUCAGAGGUGAAAUUCUUGGAUUUAUUGAAGACUAACUACUGCGAAAGCAUUUGCCAAGGAUGUUUUCAUUAAUCAAGAACGAAAGUUAGGGGAUCGAAGACGAUCAGAUACCGUCGUAGUCUUAACCAUAAACUAUGCCGACUAGGGAUCGGAUGAUGUUAAUUUUUUAAUGACUCAUUCGGCGCCUUACG